CUAGUAUCAACAUCCGGUGUAAUUUUUGCUUGUAUUUUGGAGAAACUCGAUUGAUUUCUAGCAAACUUGGUUUACCACUACAUCGUCGCUUAUUAUUAUUUGUUGCUGCUUGGACCAAUGGUACAAUAAAGUUAAGUCAGCAACCGUCUACCAGACUGCAAGAUUCAUCUCUUCCAAAGGAUGUCGUACCUUUCCAGAUACACUGUGUUUUGUGUGGAUAAGAAAUGCAGAGUGGUACCACCAAUCACCUAAGCCACCAUUCCCCUAACAGACAAUAGGCUCAUGGGGACAGUUCCUGCAAUUUACAGAAAAGCUCUCAAUUGUAGCCCUACGAACUUCAGAUACUGCCGAUGGUGAAGCUUGGGUGCACCGGGCCGGUUUUCCAGCCUUGUGGAAUCAACCAGCUGAACUGGGGCCCGGAAUUAUAUAAGACUCCUUAGCAGCAUGAGUGCCAGCCAUUCAUUGCUGUUCUUGCAUUGCUGAGGAGGACAGUCCUGCCAACAUAACAGUUUGUUCAAUAACAGGAGACAAACAGAAACACAGAGGUGCUAUACAUUCUGAUGGAAAAACAAAAGCAUCUCCCAUCAUUUUGGCGUGGCUCAGAUCAAGAGGAGAAUUUUAAGAAAGGUGAUGGUUGGGCACACACAAGAAGACAUAGAUCACAGGUGUCUAGCCAUAUGAGUAGAGAGGAGUGUCACACUCUGCCAAACUUACUUCAUCAGACGAGCAGAAAGCUUCUCAAGAUCCCGCACUGCACACUAAGACAUAGUCUUUGACUACAACAAGGUGAUGAAAGUACAGAGAGGUCCAAUUGAAAUCAAUUCUGUGCUGCGUCAUUUCUUCAUUCUGGAAGUCGAUGGACAUGAUUUAUCAUGGCAUCAAGUGUGCAGUUUGCCGACUAUCAGCAGUCUUGUUCACCAGCUGUGCAACUUGAGCUGGUAGCUUUAUUGCUUGAAGCCACUGCAUAAGAGGGGGGAGGUGCAGGCUCAUCAAAAAGUCUCAAAAGUUGAAACUAGGAAAAGAAGUUUAUCAAGAGAGUGAAUCUAUUUUGAAAACAAUUGUUACAAUGAUUUGGUUUCCUUUGAAACUUGAUACAUACUAUGAAUUGAGAUGCUUAAAUAAAAUAACGCUAUUCAAAUAUCAGGAAACUGCCUUUUUCAUACUAAAGGGUAAAUGAUGUCACCAUUUCCUGUAUGUAUUUAAAUAAGAUAUGUCUCCACAAUUAAUAUUUUUAUGGAAUUUUUCUCAACCUAAUGAAUGAGAUUAAAUUGUACAGCGUUAUAUGAGCUCAAUAUGUGUUUUCUCAUUCUUUAAAAUUGGUGAAAAAUUGUCAGAAGAUAAUUAGACCAGUAUCCAUUACUGCAAUCAUACAAUCAAAUAUACAGGGACAAGCCCACUGGGCAUAUAAUAUAAUUAAACCCUGUUUAGGGGCACGAGGCAAACAGAGUUACUUUCAAACGUUAAAGCUGCACUCUCACACUUUGGAUGUUUUGACAACCUUUUUCAUUUUAUGUCUUGGAUUGGAACCAUCCAAUUUUUGCGAAAAAUUAAAUCCCAGAUUUUUCUAUUUAAGUUAAAACAUUGAUGUUUUUUAUGCACUUUUCUUAAACUGUUAGUAACAUUAAUUUUCGAACGGAAAUAUGAAAUCUGCGCUCUGAUCUUUAGUCAGCAAUCUUUUAUCAUUGGUUUGCAGAUAAUUACGCAAAAACUUGCUCAUUCGAAGACAAAUAAAGUUGUGGAAACGGUAUAUCUGUGAGAGUGCAGCUCUAAAUGUUUAAUUGCUUGAUUUUACUACUGUAUUGGAAAUUACAGGGAUUGGGGUAUAUUUUUAGUGUUUUUAUUGCUUGUUUUUGAUUCAUACAGUCAUACAUUAUUCUUCAGGGCACAACUUACAAAUAAACAAAACUGGAAAAUGGUCAUAUCAAAAGGUCAAAGAUAACGCAAGUUGAACAAACAUAUUGUUCAUGGCUUGUAUUUUUGGUAUAUUUUGUUGCAUAUGCUAUAGAAAAGUUGAAAGUUAAAAAUAAAUUCAUAGUUGAAAUGAUGGCUUUGAAUGGUAUUGUCAGAUGAGAAACGGCACUAUUAAGAAAUAGGUAUAAUGGUACUUUAUUUAUUUUAAUCAAUUUUAGAUAUUAUGAAAAUUAUUAUCUUAUUUAGUACAUGAGACCUUUUAAACAGUUAUUGACAAUAUAACAAUGUGUAUAUGAAGCUUUAGAUCAACACUUAAAGCUGCACUCUUACAGAUUGUCAGUUUAGACACAAAAUUGUCUCAAAAUCGGCUGAUUUGGUUAUCAUUCCUGUAAUUCAGUCAUAUUAGAUAAUUCACAAUAGAACCAAUCAAAAAUGUUUGGUAAAACUGCCGAAAAGUUAAUUUACAUUAAAUUGUUCGUAAUGCUUUUAGUCAUUGUUCGUAAUGCUUUUAGUCAUAAAACAUCAUUUUUUUAACAUAAAUAUGAUGAACUGCAAUCUGAUCUUUUUUCAGCAGUCUUAUAUCACUUAAAAUUGGGUCUAGACAUUUCUGCAAAAAAUUCUCCAUUCAUAGACAAACAAUAAAAGAGUACCGGUAGUCAAAACAAUCAAUCGGUGAGAUUGCAGCUUUAAAUACACCUUUUAAGACCGCUGUAAAAUUCCAAUGGUUUGCCUAAAUCUUUAAAGCUAGCAUACUGUUUAAUUGACAACCAUACUUAUUGUUUAAAAGUGUCAUGAUAUCUUUGUACAAUGUUUUUAUAUAAUUCAUUAAAGAAGUCAAAACAAAUUUGUUUAUCUUGUAAUU